rnacentral:rRNA from 1 species
AUUGAACGCUGGCGGCAGGCCUAACACAUGCAAGUCGAGCGAGCGGCGGACGGGUGAGUAAUGUCCGGGAACCUGCCUGAUGGAGGGGGAUAACUACUGGAAACGGUAGCUAAUACCGCAUACCAUCGGAUGUUCCCAGAUGGGAUUAGCUCGUGGGUGGGGCAACGGCUCACCUUGGCGACGAUCCCUAGCUGGUCUGAGAGGAUGACCAGCCACUCUGGAACUGGGACACGGUCAAGACUCUAACGGGAGGCGGAAGUGGGGAAUAUUGCACAAUGGGCGCAGGCCUGAUGCAGCCAUGCCGCGUGGGGGAAGAAGGCCUGCGGUUGGUAAGGCAUUUUCAGCGGGGAGGCGUUACCCGCAGAGGAAGCACCGGCUAACUCCGUGCCAGCAGCCGCGGUAAUAC